UUGACCACCAAAAAUAAGAGGUCCUGCCUGCCCAGUGACACAAGUUUAACGGCCGCGGUAUUUUGACCGUGCUAAGAGUAGCGCAAUCACUUGUCUUUUAAAUGAAGACCCGUAUGAAUGGCAAAACGAGGGCUUAACUGUCUCCUCUAUCCAGUCAAUGAAAUUGAUCUCCCCGUGCAGAAGCGGGGAUACCACCAUAAGACGAGAAGACCCUAUGGAGCUUUAGACAACAAUUCAGCCCGUCCCAAAAUUCUUAAAUAAACGAACACACUUAACGGCCCCUGUAUUAAUGUCUUCGGUUGGGGCGACCGCGGGGAAAUACAAAACCCCCAUGUGGAAUAAGAGCACUUAACCCCUUCACUCCCUGCUCUUAGAAACUAGAGGGACACCUCUAAUUAACAGAACUUCUGACCUUAAAUGAUCCGGCCUGCCGAUCAGCGAACCAAGUUACCCUAGGGAUAACAGCGCAAUCCUCUUUUAGAGCCCAUAUCGACAAGGGGGUUUACGACCUUGAUGUUGGAUCAGGACAUCCUAAUGGCGCAGCAGCUAUUAAGGGUUUGUUUGUUCAACGAU
rnacentral:rRNA from 1 species